rnacentral:rRNA from 1 species
AACGAACGCUGGCGGCAUGCCUAACACAUGCAAGUCGAACGAGACCUUCGGGUCUGGUGGCGCACGGGUGCGUAACGCGUGGGAACCUGCCCUUAGGUUCGGAAUAACUCCCCGAAAGGGGUGCUAAUACCGGAUAAUAUCUUCGGACCAAAGAUUUAUCGCCUUUGGAUGGGCCCGCGUUGGAUUAGCUAGUUGGUAGGGUAAAAGCCUACCAAGGCGACGAUCCAUAGCUGGUCUGAGAGGAUGAUCAGCCACACUGGGACUGAGACACGGCCCAGACUCCUACGGGAGGCAGCAGUGGGGAAUAUUGGACAAUGGGCGAAAGCCUGAUCCAGCAAUGCCGCGUGAGUGAUGAAGGCCUUAGGGUUGUAAAGCUCUUUUACCCGGGAUGAUAAUGACAGUACCGGGAGAAUAAGCUCCGGCUAACUCCGUG